GUUUGAUCCUGGCUCAGGAUGAACGCUGGCGGCGUGCUUAACACAUGCAAGUCGAACGAACCUUCGGGUUAGUGGCGGACGGGUGAGUAACGCGUGAGAAUCUGCCCUCAGGAGGGGGAUAACGGUUGGAAACGACCGCUAAUACCCCAUAUGCCGCGAGGUGAAAUGAAUUUCGCCUGAGGAUGAGCUCGCGUCUGAUUAGCUAGUUGGUGGGGUAAGAGCCUACCAAGGCUUCGAUCAGUAGCUGGUCUGAGAGGAUGAUCAGCCACACUGGGACUGAGACACGGCCCAGACUCCUACGGGAGGCAGCAGUGGGGAAUUUUCCGCAAUGGGCGAAAGCCUGACGGAGCAACGCCGCGUGAGGGAUGAAGGCCUCUGGGCUGUAAACCUCUUUUAUCAAGGAAGAAGAUCUGACGGUACUUGAUGAAUAAGCCACGGCUAAUUCCGUGCCAGCAGCCGCGGUAAUACGGGAGUGGCAAGCGUUAUCCGGAAUUAUUGGGCGUAAAGCGUCCGCAGGCGGUCUUACAAGUCUGUCGUUAAAGCGUGGAGCUUAACUCCAUUUCGGCGAUGGAAACUGUAAGACUAGAGUGUGGUAGGGGCAGAGGGAAUUCCCGGUGUAGCGGUGAAAUGCGUAGAUAUCGGGAAGAACACCAGUGGCGAAGGCGCUCUGCUGGGCCAUAACUGACGCUCAUGGACGAAAGCUAGGGGAGCGAAAGGGAUUAGAUACCCCUGUAGUCCUAGCCGUAAACGAUGAACACUAGGUGUCGGGGGAAUCGACCCCCUCGGUGUCGUAGCCAACGCGUUAAGUGUUCCGCCUGGGGAGUACGCACGCAAGUGUGAAACUCAAAGGAAUUGACGGGGGCCCGCACAAGCGGUGGAGUAUGUGGUUUAAUUCGAUGCAACGCGAAGAACCUUACCAGGGUUUGACAUCCUGCGAAUCCCUUGGAAACUUGGGAGUGCCUUCGGGAGCGCAGUGACAGGUGGUGCAUGGCUGUCGUCAGCUCGUGUCGUGAGAUGUUGGGUUAAGUCCCGCAACGAGCGCAACCCACGUCUUUAGUUGCCAGCAUUCAGUUGGGCACUCUAGAGAGACCGCCGGUGAUAAACCGGAGGAAGGUGUGGAUGACGUCAAGUCAUCAUGCCCCUUACAUCCUGGGCUACACACGUACUACAAUGCUACGGACAAAGGGCAGCAAACUCGCGAGAGCUAGCCAAUCCCAUAAACCGUGGCUCAGUUCAGAUCGUAGGCUGCAACUCGCCUACGUGAAGGAGGAAUCGCUAGUAAUCGCAGGUCAGCAUACUGCGGUGAAUACGUUCCCGGGCCUUGUACACACCGCCCGUCACACCAUGGAAGUUGGCCACGCCCGAAGUCGUUACUCCAACCCUUGUGGAGGAGGAUGCCGAAGGUGGGGCUGAUGACUGGGGUGAAGUCGUAACAAGGUAGCCGUACCGGAAGGUGCGGCUGGAUCACCUCCUAACA
rnacentral:rRNA from 1 species